CUAUAAUGCAAGUCGAACGCGUUGGCCCAAUUGAUUGAUGGUGCUUGCACCUGAUUGAUUUUGGUCGCCAACGAGUGGCGGACGGGUGAGUAACACGUAGGUAACCUGCCCAGAAGCGGGGGACAACAUUUGGAAACAGAUGCUAAUACCGCAUAACANCGUUGUUCGCAUGAACAACGCUUAAAAGAUGGCUUCUCGCUAUCACUUCUGGAUGGACCUGCGGUGCAUUAGCUUGUUGGUGGGGUAACGGCCUACCAAGGCGAUGAUGCAUAGCCGAGUUGAGAGACUGAUCGGCCACAAUGGGACUGAGACACGGCCCAUACUCCUACGGGAGGCAGCAGUAGGGAAUCUUCCACAAUGGGCGCAAGCCUGAUGGAGCAACACCGCGUGAGUGAAGAAGGGUUUCGGCUCGUAAAGCUCUGUUGUUAAAGAAGAACACGUAUGAGAGUAACUGUUCAUACGUUGACGGUAUUUAACCAGAAAGUCACGGCUAACUACGUGCCAGCAGCCGCGGUAAUACGUAGGUGGCAAGCGUUAUCCGGAUUUAUUGGGCGUAAAGAGAGUGCAGGCGGUUUUCUAAGUCUGAUGUGAAAGCCUUCGGCUUAACCGGAGAAGUGCAUCGGAAACUGGAUAACUUGAGUGCAGAAGAGGGUAGUGGAACUCCAUGUGUAGCGGUGGAAUGCGUAGAUAUAUGGAAGAACACCAGUGGCGAAGGCGGCUACCUGGUCUGCAACUGACGCUGAGACUCGAAAGCAUGGGUAGCGAACAGGAUUAGAUACCCUGGUAGUCCAUGCCGUAAACGAUGAGUGCUAGGUGUUGGAGGGUUUCCGCCCUUCAGUGCCGGAGCUAACGCAUUAAGCACUCCGCCUGGGGAGUACGACCGCAAGGUUGAAACUCAAAGGAAUUGACGGGGGCCCGCACAAGCGGUGGAGCAUGUGGUUUAAUUCGAAGCUACGCGAAGAACCUUACCAGGUCUUGACAUCUUGCGCCAACCCUAGAGAUAGGGCGUUUCCUUCGGGAACGCAAUGACAGGUGGUGCAUGGUCGUCGUCAGCUCGUGUCGUGAGAUGUUGGGUUAAGUCCCGCAACGAGCGCAACCCUUGUUACUAGUUGCCAGCAUUAAGUUGGGCACUCUAGUGAGACUGCCGGUGACAAACCGGAGGAAGGUGGGGACGACGUCAGAUCAUCAUGCCCCUUAUGACCUGGGCUACACACGUGCUACAAUGGACGGUACAACGAGUCGCGAACUCGCGAGGGCAAGCAAAUCUCUUAAAACCGUUCUCAGUUCGGACUGCAGGCUGCAACUCGCCUGCACGAAGUCGGAAUCGCUAGUAAUCGCGGAUCAGCAUGCCGCGGUGAAUACGUUCCCGGGCCUUGUACACACCGCCCGUCACACCAUGAGAGUUUGUAACACCCAAAGUCGGUGGGGUAACCUUUUAGGAGCCAGCCGCCUAAGG
rnacentral:rRNA from 1 species